rnacentral:piRNA from 1 species
UGAUAUUGGCCGCCUUGCAGAUGUG